rnacentral:rRNA from 1 species
AUUGAACGCUGGCGGCAGGCCUAACACAUGCAAGUCGAACGGUAGCACAGAGGAGCUUGCUCCUUGGGUGACGAGUGGCGGACGGGUGAGUAAUGUCUGGGGAUCUGCCCGAUGGAGGGGGAUAACCACUGGAAACGGUGGCUAAUACCGCAUAACGUCGCAAGACCAAAGUGGGGGACCUUCGGGCCUCACACCAUCGGAUGAACCCAGAUGGGAUUAGCUAGUAGGUGGGGUAACGGCUCACCUAGGCGACGAUCCCUAGCUGGUCUGAGAGGAUGACCAGCCACACUGGAACUGAGACACGGUCCAGACUCCUACGGGAGGCAGCAGUGGGGAAUAUUGCACAAUGGGCGCAAGCCUGAUGCAGCCAUGCCGCGUGUAUGAAGAAGGCCUUCGGGUUGUAAAGUACUUUCAGCGGGGAGGAAGGGGAUGAGGUUAACAACCUCGUUCAUUGACGUUACCCGCAGAAGAAGCACCGGCUAACUCCGUGCCAGCAGCCGCGGCAAUACGGAGGGUGCAAGCGUUAAUCGGAAUUACUGGGCGUAAAGCGCACGCAGGCGGUCUGUUAGUCAGAUGUGAAAUCCCCGGGCUUAACCUGGGAACUGCAUUUGAAACUGGCAGGCUUGAGUCUUGUAGAGGGGGGUAGAAUUCCAGGUGUAGCGGUGAAAUGCGUAGAGAUCUGGAGGAAUACCGGUGGCGAAGGCGGCCCCCUGGACAAAGACUGACGCUCAGGUGCGAAAGCGUGGGGAGCAAACAGGAUUAGAUACCCUGGUAGUCCACGCCGUAAACGAUGUCGACUUGGAGGCUGUGAGCAUGACUCGUGGCUUCCGGAGCUAACGCGUUAAGUCGACCGCCUGGGGAGUACGGCCGCAAGGUUAAAACUCAAAUGAAUUGACGGGGGCCCGCACAAGCGGUGGAGCAUGUGGUUUAAUUCGAUGCAACGCGAAGAACCUUACCUGCUCUUGACAUCCACGGAAUUCGGCAGAGAUGCCUUAGUGCCUUCGGGAACCGUGAGACAGGUGCUGCAUGGCUGUCGUCAGCUCGUGUUGUGAAAUGUUGGGUUAAGUCCCGCAACGAGCGCAACCCUUAUCCUUUGUUGCCAGCGAUUCGGUCGGGAACUCAAAGGAGACUGCCGGUGAUAAACCGGAGGAAGGUGGGGAUGACGUCAAGUCAUCAUGGCCCUUACGAGCAGGGCUACACACGUGCUACAAUGGCGCAUACAAAGAGAAGCGACCUCGCGAGAGCAAGCGGACCUCACAAAGUGCGUCGCAGUCCGGAUCGGAGUCUGCAACUCGACUCCGUGAAGUCGGAAUCGCUAGUAAUCGUGGAUCAGAAUGCCACGGUGAAUACGUUCCCGGGCCU